UUGCACAGCGAACACCCAUGUGUGCUUUGUAGCUCCCUUGGUCAUUUGCCUGUGCUAAAGAAAAGUGUGGUCCUUACCUCUACAUUGGAAGAGAUUGUUUCUUCUACAUGUAUUCAGUGGACCAGCACAUUU
ensembl:snoRNA